AUCUUGUACUGACUCUCCCUGCUGGCGAUGACCAGCUGGCCGCUGGUGCAGGCCUCGUCACUGUCAGAACAUGGAGAGAGAGCAGGGGCCGCACUCCGACUCCUCGUGUCUCACCUGAAGAAGAGGCGGAGGGACCUCAUGUGACCCAGGUCGACCCGGAAGACUCCGCACAGCUGCUCCAGGGCCAUCACCUUCUGCUGCUCCUCCCACCGCACCCCCUGCGAUUGGCUGUUCUCAGAGGGGGCGUGGCUGUCCAGGCUGGAGGCGGAGCUGGCUGAAUGAGUCAUAGACUCGUCGCACAUGUCCCUAAGUUCCUGUCAUUCUCUCCUCCCUCAUUUACUCCCCCCCUCCCCCCCGUUCCCG